UCCUCCCCCGCGUUUUUCUCUCUCCCUUCGGCGAUCUGCAGCUCCGACACUUCCUCCUUUUCCGGCCACCUGGUGGUGCAAGGUUGGUAUCAGUAGACUCGUCUCCUCCUCCUCUCGACGCUGGUAGUGGUAACUCAUGGCGGUUUGGCCGGAAAACGACGCAUCGAGCAUUGAAAGUUUACUGUAGCAGUUUAAGUCAACGCCGUUUUCUUCCGAUUCCGGCCACCCCAGACGAUAAAGUUAGGUUCUUUGGAAGCGCCUUGGGAUGUAGAUGCUACCCCCUGAAUCGUGUGCAGCGAUUUGAAGCAUGGAGGAAGAACUGACGGCUGGAAGAUUACGAUCACUAUUCACGGUUCGAGUUCAAGCUUCUCCUUAAUUGUUGAGGGCGACGUGCCAAGCUAUUGCUCGACGUAGGAAACCGGUAGCGUGGUCGCCUAAAUAGUACUAUUCUUUGGUACUAUUAUUUGGUGCAAAUUCGAAUCUCAGGACCGGCCCUGGACAGACUUGUGAACCAAACUGGGCGGCUUGUUCUGCUUCCUGGUCUUAGUGGUGGCGAGCACCACCGACUAGUCUUUGCCUCCGGGCUGAAUACUCACAGUCUUCUUGUUCGCCAAACCGGAGUGCUUGUAGUAGUGGAGGUUGCAGAGGUUGUUAGGCUCCUUGCUGAAGCGAACGCCGGCGUGGCUCCGGCCAAACUGCUUGACCAAGAAAAAGUUCUUCUUCUUGACGAUCUCCCAGAUCAGCUGUCCUAGAACGAUGGCCAUUGGAACCUAGCAAAAGUUCUGUAGAGGGUUUCGCACAGAGAGAGGGUAGUUGAUUCUUAAAAAAUUAGAUCGUGUACUAAAAAAUUAAUAAAAGUAUUAAGUAAUGUAUUAUGAUGCUCAGUUGCACCAAGUUAUUAUGUA